rnacentral:lncRNA from 1 species
AAGAGGACGGGAGGGACUGCGGGUGGGCGAGGGGCAUUUUCCACCUGGAGAGAAGGAAGAAGGCGAACAGUAGCGCUGCGGACGUCCGUGCGCUCGGGGCGCCCGCUGGACGGAUUCACUGCGAGUCUUUGUCGGGCUUAUCUCAGCCAAUUCCCGUCAAGCAUGCAAGUGGCUCUGUUGGCUGCAGUCGCCUAUGUUCUCCACAUAAAAUGAUUUAAGAAGUGGACGUGUCAGGAAGUGGCCUCAGCUACGGGGACUCACGCGAGGCGAAGAGAAUGAGACAGAUGGCAAGAAGCUGUGUGGCUGCCGGCGGGUCUGACGAACUCCCCAUCCCUCCUUCUGCCCACCCAUCCUUCCAUUAACCCUACUCCUUAGUUCUGCGCUGAGGAAGUAUAUUUAUUUUAACCGGCACCCGUAUUAAGAGCUUCUGAAAAAACUUGGAGGGCGUCCCAUUAGGGUAAGGAGUGGGCAGUGUUACCAGGGUGGAUCAUAAACCUCAAGAACUUUUAACGAACCACAUCCUCUGAUAUUUUUACCUUUAAGGAGAUAGAGUUUCUUUACCAAACAACACGACCGAGCUGAGGCUCCUUAGAGAAUAAUUUCCAAUUUAGGCAAUGGGGAA